rnacentral:rRNA from 1 species
GAAGGUCCCAAGGGUUGGGCUGUUCGCCCAUUAAAGUGGUACGUGAGCUGGGUUUAGAACGUCGUGAGACAGUUCGGUCUCUAUCCGCCGUGGGCACAGGAGAUUUGAGGGAAUCUGCUUCUAGUACGAGAGGACCGAAGUGGACGAACCUCUAGUGUACCAGUUGUCAUAUCAAUGGCACCGCUGGGUAGCUAUGUUCGGAAAGGAUAAGCGCUGAAAGCAUAUAAGCGCGAAACCUGACCCAAGAUAAGAUCUCCCUACCGUAAGGUAAUAAGGCUCGUUGCAGACUACAACGUUGAUAGGCUGCAGGUGUAAGUGUGGUAACACAUUCAGCCGAGCAGUACUAAUAUGCCGAACGACUUUAUCAAAUUUU